rnacentral:rRNA from 1 species
GUUGUAUGGUUAAGUGACUAAGCGUAUGUGGUGGAUGCCUUGGCAGUUAGAGGCGAUGAAGGACGUGUUAAUCUGCGAAAAGCCCAGUUAAGCCGAUAAAAGGCGUUAUAGGCUGGGAUGUCCGAAUGGGGAAACCCACCCAACGUAAGUUGGGUAUCGUUAAGUGAAUACAUAGCUUAACGAGGCGAACCGGGAGAACUGAAACAUCUAAGUACCCCGAGGAAAAGAAAUCAACCGAGAUUUCCUUAGUAGCGGCGAGCGAACGGGAAUUAGCCCUUAAGCGGUUUGUAAGUUAGUGGAAUGCUCUGGAAAGGGCAGCGAUACAGGGUGAUAGCCCCGUACAUGAAAAUAAACUUACCGUGAAAUCGAGUAGGACGGAACACGUGAAAUUCUGUCUGAAUAUGGGGGGACCAUCCUCCAAGGCUAAAUACUCCUAACUGACCGAUAGUGAACCAGUACCGUGAGGGAAAGGCGAAAAGAACCCCUGUGAGGGGAGUGAAAUAGAACCUGAAACCGCAUACGUACAAGCAGUGGAAGCCCUUCGGGGUGACUGCGUACCUUUUGUAUAAUGGGUCAGCGACUUAUGUUCUGUAGCAAGGUUAACCGAUUAGGGGAGCCGUAGCGAAAGCGAGUGUUAACUGCGCGUUUAGUUGCAGGGCAUAGACCCGAAACCCGGCGAUCUACCCAUGGGCAGGUUGAAGGUUGAGUAACAUCAACUGGAGGACCGAACACACGUAUGUUGAAAAAUGCGGUGAUGACCUGUGGGUCGGAGUGAAAGGCUAAUCAAGCCGGGAGAUAGCUGGUUCUCCCCGAAAUCUAUUUAGGUAGAGCCUCGGACGAACACCAUUGGGGGUAGAGCACUGUUAAGGCUAGGGGGUCAUCCCGACUUACCAACCCUUUGCAAACUCCGAAUACCAAUGAGUGCUAUCCGGGAGACACACUUAGGGUGCUAACGUCCUAAGUGGAAAGGGAAACAACCCAGACCGCCAGCUAAGGUCCCAAAGUCUAUGUUAAGUGGGAAACGAUGUGGAAAGGCCCAGACAGCUAGGAGGUUGGCUUAGAAGCAGCCACCCUUUAAAGAAAGCGUAAUAGCUCACUAGUCGAGUCGGUCUGCGCGGAAGAUGUAACGGGGCUAAACAUAGCACCGAAGCUGCGGAUUUGCGCAAUAGCGCAAGUGGUAGGGGAGCGUUCUGUAAGCCGUUGAAGGUGUGUUGUAAAGCAUGCUGGAGGUAUCAGAAGUGCGAAUGCUGACAUGAGUAACGAUAAGGGGAGUGAAAAACUCCCCCGCCGAAAGACCAAGGUUUCCUGUCCCAUGUUAAUCAGGGCAGGGUAAGUCGGCCCCUAAGGCGAGACCGAAAGGUGUAGUCGAUGGGAAACAGAUUAAUAUUUCUGUACUUCUAUAUAUUGCGAAGGAGGGACGGAGCAGGCUAAGCAAGCAUGGCGUUGGUAGUCCAUGUGAAAGUAUGUAGGCUGAGAAUUUAGGUAAAUCCGGAUUCUCUUAAGGCUGAGAUACGAGACGAGACUCUACGGAGUUGAAGUUGUUGAUGCCAUACUUCCAGGAAAAGCUUCUAAGCAUCAGAUAUAUAGGAACCGUACCCCAAACCGACACAGGUGGUUAGGUAGAGAAUACUAAGGCGCUUGAGAGAACUCGGGUGAAGGAACUAGGCAAAAUAGUACCGUAACUUCGGGAGAAGGUACGCCGGCUAGGGUGAUGAGACUUGCUCUCUAAGCCUCGGUCGGUCGAAGUAACCAGGUGGCUGGAACUGUUUAUUAAAAACACAGCACUGUGCUAAAUCGUAAGAUGACGUAUACGGUGUGACGCCUGCCCGGUGCCGGAAGGUUAAUUGAUUGGGUUAGCGUAAGCGAAGCUCAUGAUCGAAGCCCCGGUAAACGGCGGCCGUAACUAUAACGGUCCUAAGGUAGCGAAAUUCCUUGUCGGGUAAGUUCCGACCUGCACGAAUGGCGUAAUCAUGGCCACACUGUCUCCACCCGAGACUCAGUGAAAUUGAAAUUGCGGUUAAGAUGCCGUAUACCCGCGGCUAGACGGAAAGACCCCGUGAACCUUUACUAUAGCUUGACAGUGAACAUUGCUCCUACAUGUGUAGGAUAGGUGGGAGGCUUUGAAACUUGGACGCCAGUUUGAGUGGAGCCAAUCUUGAAAUACCACCCUUGUAUGCGUGAUGUUCUAACCUGGGGCCCUGAUCGGGCUUGGGGACACUGUCUGGUGGGUAGUUUGACUGGGGCGGUCUCCUCCCAAAGAGUAACGGAGGAGCACGAAGGUUGGCUAAGUAUGGUCGGACAUCAUACGGUUAGUGCAAUGGCAUAAGCCAGCUUAACUGCGAGACAGACACGUCGAGCAGGUACGAAAGUAGGUCAUAGUGAUCCGGUGGUUCUGAAUGGAAGGGCCAUCGCUCAACGGAUAAAAGGUACUCCGGGGAUAACAGGCUGAUACCGCCCAAGAGUUCAUAUCGACGGCGGUGUUUGGCACCUCGAUGUCGGCUCAUCACAUCCUGGGGCUGAAGUCGGUCCCAAGGGUAUGGCUGUUCGCCAUUUAAAGUGGUACGCGAGCUGGGUUUAGAACGUCGUGAGACAGUUCGGUCCCUAUCUGCCGUGGGCGUUUGAGAAUUGAAGAGGGCUGCUCCUAGUACGAGAGGACCGGAGUGGACGAACCUCUGGUGUUCGGGUUGUCAUGCCAAUGGCAUUGCCCGGUAGCUAUGUUCGGAACUGAUAACCGCUGAAAGCAUCUAAGCGGGAAGCAGGCUUUGAGAUGAGUUCUCACUGGGACUUUAAGUCCCCUAAAGGGUCGUCGGAGACUACGACGUUGAUAGGUCAGGUGUGUAAGGGUUGUGAGGCCUUGAGCUAACUGAUACUAAUUGCCCGUGAGGCUUAACCAUACAACACCCAAACGGUU